AAAUUCCUUGUCGGGUAAGUUCCGACCUGCACGAAUCUUGUAACGACUGAACGACUGUCUCGGAGAGGUUCUCGGCGAAACUGUAACGGCGGUGAAGAUGCCGCCUGCCCGCAGUAGGACGGAAAGACCCUAUGCACCUUUACUGUAAGCUCGUAUUGGCUUCUGGUUGAUGAUGCUUAGCGUAGGUGGGAGACUUUGAAGGCAUGGCUUCGGUUGUGCUGGAGUCGCAAUGUGAAACACCACUCUUUGUCAACUAGGAGUCUAACCUCGAUCCCGUUAGCCGGGCGAGGGACAGUGCGUGCGGGUCAGUUUGGCUGGGGCGGCUUCCUCCCAAAUGGUAACGGAGGAGCGCGAAGCUGGGCUCAGCAUGGUUGGCAACCAUGCGUCGAGCGUAUGGGUAGAAGCCCGGUUAACUGCGAGACCAACAAGUCAAGCAGAUGCGAAAGCAGGCCCAAAUGAUCCGAUGGUUGAAUGUGGAAUUGCCAUCGCUCAACGGACAAAAGGUACGCUAGGGAUAACAGGCUGAUCGGGACCAAGAGUUCACAUCGACGUCCCGGUUUGGCACCUCGAUGUCGGCUCAUCACAUCCUGGGGCUGGAGAAGGUCCCAAGGGUUCGGCUGUUCGCCGAUUAAAGUGGCACGCGAGCUGGGUUCAGAACGUCGUGAGACAGUUCGGUCCCUAUCUGUCGUGGGUGUAGGAGUGUUGAGAGGAUUUGUCCCUAGUACGAGAGGACCGGGAUGAACACACCUCUGGUGGACCUGUUGUGGCGCCAGCCGCAAUGCAGGGUAGCUAUGUGUGGACGGGAUAACCGCUGAAGGCAUCUAAGCGGGAAACCCACCUCAAAACGAGCGCUCCCUUGAGAGGCGUGGAAGACGACCACGUUGAUAGGCUGGGUGUGUAAGCGCG
rnacentral:rRNA from 1 species